AAAAAAUUUGAUUUUGGUUUUAAAAUUUAUAUAAUAAUUUUUUUGCAUGUAAAUUUUUGUGUGAUUUAUUAAAAUAAUUUAAAAUUAUUUUAAUUUAAAUAAAUAUAAAUAUUAUUUAAUUGCAGCAUUUAGUUUUAAUCAAUUAAUUAAAAUUAGAAUUAUAAAUUAUUUUAAAUAUUAACAAAAAGAAAUGUGCCAGCAGUUGCGGUUAUACAUUAUAUAUAAGUAAAUUUUAUUAAAAAUAGUAAUAUUUAUAAUAUAUAUAUAUAUAUAUAUAUAUAUAUGUAAAUAGUUUANAAUAGUUUAUAAAAUAAAAAGAUAAGUGAAAUUUUUUUUUAUUAAUAAAAUUAGUUAAAAAAUUUAAUAUUUACUAGAUGAUAUAAAUAAACUAGGAUUAGAUACCCUAUUAUUUAUUAUGUAAAUUUUUAUAAUUUUUAGGUACUAAUAGUUAAAGUCUUUAAACUUAAAAUAAUUGGCGGUAUUUAAAGCUAAUUAGGGGAACUUGUUUAUUAAUUGAUAAUCCUCAAGAUACCUUACUUUAAUUAAUUAAGUUUAUUUAUUGCCGUUAUAAGAAAAUUUUAAAAGAAUUAAUAAUUUUCUAUUAAUUUUAUUAAUAAAAAAAUUAUUUCAGGUCAUUAUGUAGUUUAUAUUAAAGUUUUAAAAUGAGUUACAAUAAAUUAUAUUUAUUAAUAAUGGAUAUUAAAUUGAAAAUUAAUUUAAUUAAAAGUGGACUUAAUAGUAAAAUAAAAUAAUAAAAUUUAUUUGAAAUUAGAAUUAAAUAUGUACAUAUCGCCCGUCACUCUCGUUAAAAAUAUGAGAUAAGUCGUAACAAAGUAGAUGUAAUGGAAAUUGUAUCUAGAAGAUA
rnacentral:ncRNA from 1 species